GCUUUCAUAGGUGCUCGCUCACAACACUUUCUGCAAAAGACUGUUAAGGCUAUAAGAGGGACCUUUGUCUUUUCUGUGCCUCCCUUGCUCUCCACUCCCACAGAUCACAUCCCUGAAUCUAACGUGCAAUGACCUGCACCGGUUGGAUGACCUGGCAAAACUUGCCCAGCACACUCCAUCUCUCAAGAAGCUGAACCUCUCCAAAAACAAUCUCAAAGAUGUGAGGGAACUUUACCCACUGAAGGCCUUCAAUUUGAAAGAGCUAUGGCUGAAGGGGAAUCCGCUGUGCGACUCCUUCCACGACCCAAAUGCCGACAUCAGGUACCGCUCCUUUGUCAUGAAUGCGACAUUGCCCGCUUACCCAUUCGCCUGUCCGUCCACGUAGCUGCCCACUCACCCAGGCACUCACUCGUCCUCAUGCUUAUCCACCCACUCAUCUACAUGGUUUAUCUUUGUGGUUGCCUGUUCAACCGAUGGCUCGCCCGCACGCCUACUCCCCCACCCUCCAGCUUCACCCAUGCACUCAACACCCCGCUCUCAACACCCCGCUCGCUCAUGCGUUCAUCCACCCGGUCACUCACACACACUCCCUUGGCCUUUUGUGUCCCAUCUCUAACUGCAUGUGUGUGUGUCAACAGCUUCGUGCGAAAACACUUUCCACAGCUCGUGAUCCUGGUGAGUGACCCUCCACAGAUGCCGGCCCUCAAGCUAUCCCCACUCUCUGUGAUAUUUGUGUCUCCGUGCAUUCCAGUUUCCCCACAUGUGCAAAAGUGCUUGUGAUUAGAGGAUUUUGCCAAAUGCACCAAGUAAAACACUUCUGAAGAAGGUCAUCAUUACCUGCCUUGGUCAAACUACUGCUGGAUGAAUACCUCCCCUAAGCCAUUGAAAUUUCUCAUGAUUGCGAAAUUGUAAUAACCCACCUAGCACCUGCCCAUGAACAACUGUUAGAUGGGUUCCAUCUCAUUGCUGCAUUCUUGAUCAUCAGCCAUUAACCCUUAUAAUGACGUGUCCUGCCCGAGCCCACUUAAGUUUCUUAACUGUUUGUAUAAGAGUUCACUUAAGAAAAGGUUACGUGCAGUUUACAGAUGACACAGAGGAACAUGAGCAGCUGUUGAAUGUCAUUAUGUUUUUUUGUUUUUGUCCUGCUGGCGGUUAUCAACAUCAUCACUUAUUGCUUCAAUCAUCUAUCUCUAACACCAUCUUUGACUAUCUUCGUCACACAUCUACCAUCAUUACCACAAUCAUCACUAUCAUCAUCAUCAUCACAAACACCACCACUAUUGCCGUCAUCUUCAUCCUGACCGCCAACAUCAUAAUGUAAUUCCAUCAUCACCAUGAUCCCUUUCACCAUAACUACUACUACCACAACAAUCAUUACCAUUAUCUUCAUCACCACGACUACUGUUACCAUAAUCAUGCUCACCACUAUAAUCAAUCACAAUCAUUAUCGCCAUGAUCUAUACCACUUUUUACAACCACUACCUUCACCAUUGUCACCAUCAGGAUGGGCAGAUGCUUUCGCAGCUGCGAAGUUCUACGCCUGCGGUGCCCUCCACGCCUGUGGUGGUGCACAGAAUUGCGGAGAACAGCUGGCAGUUCCAGCAGUGUGCGAACACCCUCAUGGAACUGAACUGAGCAGGCGUCCGCCGCAGAUUGCUGGCGAUCUCGGCACACGUUCUCCUACCAACCCUUUCCUCCACAACCCUUGUACAUUGUAAUUUAUUUGUUUUUACCCCAUUUGGAGGGAGAGGAAAAAAAUAAAAAAUAACUAUAUUUGAAACUGUGUCCUCAAACUCACGACACACUAACACCUUGUACCCUGGUUGUUAUUUCCCCCCACCUAUAACCAUGACAUCACAGGACGCUGGCAUGACGCAAUGGUUGGUACACAAUCCAGAAGUCGCUAGUUUGAUCUGUUUUCGUGGUAAUCAAUGGAAACGUUUCCUAAAUCCAUCCGGCUUAUAUCCACACAACCGAUAUGCUUGAGUGGAUAAACAAUUGGAAGAACGCAAACAUCCCAAAGAAGCGCCUCAUUGUGGAUCAAACCAUCAGGAAGCUCACUGGCCCCCCACCACCGCAAGCAGUGGGACUCCAUACAUCAGAUCCAACCUGGC